UACGUAGGGUGCGAGCGUUGUCCGGAAUUAUUGGGCGUAAAGGGCUCGUAGGCGGUUUGUUGCGUCGGCUGUGAAAUCCCGAGGCUCAACCUCGGGUCUGCAGUCGAUACGAGCAAACUAGAGUGUUGCAGGGGAGACUGGAAUUCCUGGUGUAGCGGUGAAAUGCGCAGAUAUCAGGAGGAACACCGGUGGGCGAAAGGCGGGUCUCGUGGGCAACAACUGACGCUGGAGGAGCGAAAGCGUGGGAGCGAACAGG
rnacentral:rRNA from 1 species